rnacentral:misc_RNA from 1 species
GAUGAAGAACGCAGCGAAAUGCGAUACUUGGUGUGAAUUGCAGAAUCCCGUGAUCCAUCGAGUUUUUGAACGCAAGUUGCGCCCGAAGCCAUUAGGCCGAGGGCACGCCUGCCUGGGCGUCACACGUCGUUGCCCCCCCAUCUACUCCUUCGGGAUUGCGGGGGGCGGAUGAUGGCCUCCCGUGCGCCUCGUCGCGCGGUUGGCCUAAAUGCCAAGUCCUCGGCGACGCACGCCACGACAAUCGGUGGUUGCGAAACCUCGGUUGCCUGUCGUGUGCGGUCGUCGCGCAUCGAGGGCUCGAAAAAAUUGCCGGGCUUCGGCUCGACUUUCAACGCGACCCCAGGUCAGGCGGGGUUACCCGCUGAAUUUAAGCAUAUCAAUAAGCGGAGGA